AGUGAGCGCUGGCGGUAGGCCUAACACAUGCAAGUCGAACGGCAGCACAGUAAGAGCUUGCUCUUACGGGUGGCGAGUGGCGGACGGGUGAGGAAUACAUCGGAAUCUACUUUUUCGUGGGGGAUAACGUAGGGAAACUUACGCUAAUACCGCAUACGACCUACGGGUGAAAGCAAGAGAUCUUCGGACCUUGCGCGUUUGAAUGAGCCGAUGUCGGAUUAGCUAGUUGGCGGGGUAAAGGCCCACCAAGGCGACGAUCCGUAGCUGGUCUGAGAGGAUGAUCAGCCACACUGGAACUGAGACACGGUCCAGACUCCUACGGGAGGCAGCAGUGGGGAAUAUUGGACAAAGGGCGCAAGCCUGAUCCAGCCAUACCGCGUGGGUGAAGAAGGCCUUCGGGUUGUAAAGCCCUUUUGUUGGGAAAGAAAAGCAGCAGGUUAAUACCCCGCUGUUCUGACGGUACCCAAAGAAUAAGCACCGGCUAACUUCGUG
rnacentral:rRNA from 1 species